AGUGAACGCUGGCGGUAGGCCUAACACAUGCGAGUCGAACGGCAGCACAGUAAGAGCUUGCUCUUACGGGUGGCGAGUGGCGGACGGGUGAGGAAUACAUCGGAAUCUACUUUUUCGUGGGGGAUAACGUAGGGAAACUUACGCUAAUACCGCAUACGACCUACGGGUGAAAGCAGGGGAUCUUCGGACCUUGCGCGAUUGAAUGCGCCGAUGUCGGAUUAGCGAGUUGGCGGGGUAAAGGCGCCCAAAGGCGACGAUCCGUAGCUGGUCUGAGAGGAUGAUCACGCACACUGGAGCUGAUACACGGUCCAGACUCCGACGUGAGGCAGCAGUGGGGAAUAUUGGACGAUGGGCGCAAGCCUGAUCCAGCCAUACCGCGUUGGUGAAGAAGGCCUUCGGGUUGUAAAGCCCUUUUGUUGGGAAAGAAAAGCAGCAGGUUAAUACCCCGCUGUUCUGACGGUACCCAAAGAAUAAGCACCGGCUAACUUCGUG
rnacentral:rRNA from 1 species